rnacentral:lncRNA from 1 species
CUGCAACAGCCAGAAAAACACGCCCACACCCCUCCGCUGACCUCGCUCUGGCCGCACUGGCCACCUCCUAAAAUCUAACGGAUGGAGUUUCUUGUCAUUAUCUUCCUUGACCUCUGGGGCGUUUGACGCUACCGACUUCCUUCGACUUGACACCCUGUCCCGGCUUCUCCUCCUGCACCUUUGCCCUUCUUUUCUCGUCUCUUCAUCUUCUCCUCCCCUAAAUGUCGGUGAUCUCCAGGGUCUUUUCCUCACCCCCUUUUCAUUUCAAAUGCCGUUCCUGGUAAAACAUUCACAAAUCCACGCCUUCAACCCCAGAGCUCUGUCUCGGGUCCACACAUCUUUUGGCCUACACUGUCUCUGGGUGACUUCAUCCACACUCAUGGUUUUAGUUACUGCCUGCAAGCUGAUGACACUCAAACUCAUAGCACAGCCCAGAUGCCUUGCAAGCUUUAAUAAUGAAAAAAUAUAUACACACACAUUUAUAUAUAUAUAUAUAUAUGUUGUAUAUAUAUAUGCACACACAUUCGAAAGCCUAUUAGAUGUCACCUGGUUGUCCCAGAGACACCUUGAACUCCAAAAGUCAAAAGGUAUCAUUGUCUCCCCUCCAUCCUGUCUAAACUUUGGUCUUUUUUUCCCUGCUGUAGUGAAUGGCACUAUUCCCUCCCCACUUUUCCUUAAUACCUCCUGAAUACCAUCUCCAUUCCCACUGCACUAAGAAUUGAAGCUCAUUUCUUCCCCAGAUUGUUGAGAGUAUUUUCAAUGUUCCCCCAUCUCCACCCUGUGCCUUCUGUUAUCAGUUUAUCCUCUGUACUGCUGGAACAGUGUUUCUAAAAUGCAGAUUCGAUCAUGUCCCAUCUCUGCGAAAAGCCUAGCAUGGCUCCUGACGGCUUUGCAGGACAGUCUUUAAUCUCUCAGGGUAACUCUUGCUCAUCUUUAAGAUUUAACUCAAGUGUCACCUCCAGGAAGUUUUCCGAAAUGUCCCAGUCUGAUUUAAAAGAACUUCAAAUGUGCUGUCAAAAAAUAGUGUUUACUUCCCUCGGCCUGCCGCCCUGUGCCGAGUUACAGAGGAAAAGAAACACUAUUCUUGGCCUUGUGUACCUGCAGUCCCAGUGAGAAAAGCGUGACACCACUGAUUGGUUACCUUUGUGCCGGGCACUGUGUCAGGAGCUUUGCGCACACACAGGAUUACACAUGGAAGGCAGGAAGCAGAGUACUUACAAACAUGGACUCUGGAGCCCGGUUGCCUGGGUGCAGAUCCUGGCUUUGCCACUUCUUAGCUUCGUGACCUGGGGUAAGGUGCUUAACCUCUGUGUUGAGUUUCCUCAACGGUAACAUAGAAAAAAUAAUACUACCUACCUGUAAGGGAUGAAGUGAAGAUUAAAUAAAAGGAUCUAUGUAAAGUGCUUAGAAUAGUAAAGGCUCA